rnacentral:rRNA from 1 species
GGCUGCAGUGGGGGAUAUUGGACAAUGGGGGGAACCCUGAUCCAGCGACGCCGCGUGAGUGAAGAAGUAUUUCGGUAUGUAAAGCUCUGUCAGCAGGGAAGAAAGAAAUGACGGUACCUGACCAAGAAGCCCCGGCUAACUACGUGCCAGCAGCCGCGGUAAUACGUAGGGGGCAAGCGUUAUCCGGAAUUACUGGGUGUAAAGGGAGCGUAGACGGUGAUGCAAGUCUGGAGUGAAAGGCGGGGGCCCAACCCCCGGACUGCUCUGGAAACUGUGUAACUUGAGUGCAGGAGAGGUAAGCGGAAUUCCUAGUGUAGCGGUGAAAUGCGUAGAUAUUAGGAGGAACACCAGUGGCGAAGGCGGCUUACUGGACUGUAACUGACGUUGAGGCUCGAAAGCG